AUUGAACGCUGGCGGCAUGCCUUACACAUGCAAGUCGAACGGCAGCAUGGGUGCUUGCACCUGAUGGCGAGUGGCGAACGGGUGAGUAAUGCAUCGGAACGUACCCGGAAGUGGGGGAUAACGUAGCGAAAGUUACGCUAAUACCGCAUAUUCUGUGAGCAGGAAAGCAGGGGAUCGCAAGACCUUGCGCUUUCGGAGCGGCCGAUGUCGGAUUAGCUAGUUGGUGGGGUAAAGGCCCACCAAGGCGACGAUCCGUAGCGGGUCUGAGAGGAUGAUCCGCCACACUGGGACUGAGACACGGCCCAGACUCCUACGGGAGGCAGCAGUGGGGAAUUUUGGACAAUGGGCGCAAGCCUGAUCCAGCCAUGCCGCGUGAGUGAAGAAGGCCUCGGUUGUAAG
rnacentral:rRNA from 1 species